rnacentral:rRNA from 1 species
AAAUUAUUUUAACAUUUAAUUAAAUUCAAAUUAAAAUAAAUAAAAUAUAAUGAUUAAACUAAUAUACAAUUUAAAUUUAAAUUAAUAAUUAGGCAAUUAAUUAGUUUUCAACUGUUUACCAAAAACAUAGUCUAAAGAAAAACAAUUUUAGAUAAAUUCUGCUCAAUGCCAAAUUUAAAUAGCUGCAGUAAGUUAACUGUACUAAGGUAGCAUAAUAAAUUGCUUUAUAAUUGAAAGCUUGAAUGAAGGAAACAAUGAAAAACAAACUUUUUAAACUAAAAAAGUAAAAAUUAAUAUUUAAGUGAAAAAUCUUAAAUUAAAUCAAAAGACAAGAAGACCCUUUAGAACUUUACAAGUCGCAUCAUCUUAAAUGAGUUGUAUUGUUAAAUUGGGGAGAUUUUUAAAUAAAUAAAUCUUUAAAUAUACCGAAAUGAAAUACCUCAAAUUAAAUUAUCCACAGAUGAAAUAAAACAAGUUACCUAAGGGAUAACAGCGCAAAAUUUUUGAGAAGUUCCCAUUCACAAAAUAAAUUGCGACCUCGAUGUUGGAUUAAGAAUAGCUUAUAGAGAAAAAUUUAUAAGGAUUGGUCUGUUCGCCCAAAUAACUCUUACAUGAUCUGAGUUCAGACCGGCGUAAGCCAGGUCAGUUUAUAUCUUUGAUUACUUA